ACAAUGAACUCAUCUGGUGAAAUGCUUGGCUGGGUGCCUGGAGCGUGGGAACCAUUCCAUGAACCACGCUAUCCUUGAUCUCCAAUGUGGUCCUGUUUUCCAGAUCGGGAAACCGAGGCUGUGAGAGGAGAGGCGACUUAGCCAAGACCAGGCAGCCCACGCAGAAACUGAGGCACACCGAGUCAGAUGACCUUCCCAGGGCCACACAGUGGGCAACCCAGGUCUGACAGCUUCUGCCACCCUUCCUUGCCCCACCUGACCCGCCAGGUAGCAGGCCCCAGCCCCCGGCACCACCUCAGAGGGGCUGGUUUUCACUGUGUUUCUGCACAGACUUCCCCGGGCGUCUACUCAGGUCCACGUGGAUCCUGAAAGGCUCAGAGGUGAGUGGCGAUGAUGUGCAGGAGGAGGAGGAGGAGGCGGCGGCUCACCUUCCCGGGCACCCGCCGGGCUAAAUGUCCCGCAGGUGGUGCUGCCCACCGUACUCACAGCCCUGCAAGGUGGAUAUGGUUACCCUUCCCUCCCGACCUGGAAAGAGGCCCUGAGAGGUAAAGGGCCUGGCCCAGGGCCCCACAGCAGGUAGGUGGCCAAGCCGGGUUCCGAGCUCAGGCUGUCUGGCUCUGCAGCCCCCGUGGAGCCAGGAGAGCCUCCCUAGUCACAGCAGCUCUGAGACCCACAGCACACAGGGACAGACGGACGCACCAGCUCUCUGGCUGU